rnacentral:rRNA from 1 species
UACAGAGGGUGCGAGCGUUAAUCGGAAUUACUGGGCGUAAAGCGCACGUAGGUGGCUAUUUAAGUCGAUUGUGAAAUCCCUGGGCUUAACCUGGGAACUGCAGUCGAUACUGACUAGCUAGAGUGUGGUAGAGGGAAGUGGAAUUUCCGGUGUAGCGGUGAAAUGCGUAGAUAUCGGAAGGAACACCAGUGGCGAAGGCGGGUCUCUGGGCCGAUACUGACGCUGAGGAGCGAAAGCGUGGGGAGCGAACAGG